rnacentral:ribozyme from 1 species
UUUUCUUUUUUUUUUUCUUUCUUUCUUUCCUUUUUUUUUUUAACCUGCCGUUGAGAUGGAGAGGCUGCAAGAAAGAGUCCUGAAGAAGAAAAGCCUGGAGUGCUGGAAGUAA